CGUUCCCGGGCCUUGUACACACCGCCCGUCAAGUCAUGAAAGUCGGUAACACCCGAAGCCGGCGGCCUAACCCUUGUGGAGGGAGCCGUCGAAGGUGGGAUCGGUGAUUAGGACU
rnacentral:rRNA from 1 species